rnacentral:rRNA from 1 species
GGCGGACGGGUGAGUAACGCGUGGGAACGUGCCCAUCGGUUCGGAACAACCCAGGGAAACUUGGGCUAAUACCGGAUACGCCCUUCGGGGGAAAGAUUUAUCGCCGAUGGAUCGGCCCGCGUCUGAUUAGCUUGUUGGUGGGGUAACGGCCCACCAAGGCGACGAUCAGUAGCUGGUCUGAGAGGAUGAUCAGCCACACUGGGACUGAGACACGGCCCAGACUCCUACGGGAGGCAGCAGUGGGGAAUAUUGGACAAUGGGCGCAAGCCUGAUCCAGCCAUGCCGCGUGAGUGAUGAAGGCCCUAGGGUUGUAAAGCUCUUUCGCACGCGACGAUAAUGACGGUAGCGUGAGAAGAAGCCCCGGCUAACUUCGUGCCAGCCGCC